AUGGGUGUGCUAAGACGUAGUGGUGCAAAAUCUGGACCUUGCAGUCAGGUUCUUAACACAAGGAGUAAAAUGCUGAUCAGCUUUUUUACGAGUAAGGCUGGAGGAUGUGGCAAAGCCUCUAAUCUCCCUCUCCAAAGCAGAACCUUUAAUGCUAUCCCAGUCCUGACCUAUUCAUGCUCAGCCCAUAUUGGGAAAGUUGAGACCUGACCAGGCUCAAUUUGUCUGCUGCCUAGCCGGGAAAGGAAGGAGCCAGCCAUCUUGUUGAACCCAUGCAGAUCUGAGAGGUGGAGGGCAAGUGAGAAGGGUGGGCCUAAACUGGCCCCACUCCCGAAAAUGGUCCAUGAUUGUCCUAAGGGGUGAGUAAUGGAAGAGAGAAUGCACAGGUGCUCCAGUGCUCCCCUAGAGACCAAAGAUGAAGCCUUGUCUAUGGUUCAGGGUAAGAACAUGGGGAUGGAAGGAAAAGUAUUCUUAUAAUAUUGCCCACAUUGAUUUCUCAGGUUGUAUCAGAUGGGGUGGAAAAGGAGACACUUUGAAGACUACCUGGAAAGUGAAGUUACUUCUUUCCAGCUGACGCUGCAGAUUACCAGGAUGUCAUCUUUCCUUCUCAACGUGGGAAAAGCUAUUGAAGAGAGACAUUUGUCGGCUUUGCCAGCCUAGUUAGACCGUUACUAAAACAGUGUCUCCUGAACCGUUGUUCAUUUUCAUAAACAAAUAAUAUUGAUCCAUUCACAUGAUGAAACAUUUUAAAGUAACAAAAUUUACACAGAUCACCUUUUCCCCUUUUCCCUCUACUGUCCACUCUCUUCCCCUGAGGCACCAGGCUGCCCAGUACUGUUUUAUUUUAUGUUUUUAGUUUUUAAAUUAAUUUUUAUUGGAUAUAGUUUCUUUACAAUGUUGUGUUAGUUUCUACCGGAUAGUAAAGUGAAUCAGCUAUACAUAUAUGUAUAUCCCCUCUUUUUUGGAUUUCUCUCCCAUUUAGGUCACCGCAGAGUGCUGAAUAGAGUUCCCUGUGCUAAAUGGUGGAUUCUCAUUAGUUAU
rnacentral:lncRNA from 1 species